rnacentral:lncRNA from 1 species
AUGAGCGGACAUUUCUGUGACUUCUCUGCGGAGGAGUUUGCCUGUGCCUCUCUUUCAGCAUUGACAGCACAAGAUCUGGCAGAGAUAAUGAAGUGUGAUCGAUCAUCCAGCUCAAGUGGGUCCAAUGAAGUUUGGAAGCUUCUUCUCUCUGAAGCUUCUGGGGUGCUGGAUGAAGCUUUGGACCUUCUGGCCAACUCAAAAAUCAACUCCAAUAGCCCUUCGGCGUCCAUGAUUCUGGACAGCAUUCAAGAAAUCAGACUGAAUCUAUUAAGCCGCAACACUCUGAAUGAUCCGUCCACGCUCCAGCUGUGGUUCAACAGUCGACUUCGUCCGUUCUUGCCUGCUGUUUCCAGUUACUUCCUCUCAUGUCUGGCAGCUAAAGAUUUGCAGUGCAGCUCCUACCAAUAUAUUUUGAAGAUUCUAAGUCAAGUUCAGCCUCAGAUGAGUCUUUCUAAACAAGGACCCGUGUACACACACUUCAUCAAGAUUUACCUGAGAAGAAACAACACUGCAGGUGAGCAGUUGCAUAAAUCAAAAACACAAACUUUUGUAGACACACAAAUUAAGGGAAA